rnacentral:rRNA from 1 species
UGCGACUCCCUGAAGGCUGGSGUAUGCUUCCGGGCCGCCUUSUYAAUCCCGCCGCGGUGCUCUUCACCGAGUGUCGAGGCGGGCCGGCACGUUUACUUUGAACAAAUUAGAGUGCUUUAAGCAGGCUCUUUCCUGCCUGUAUAUUGUGUGCAUGGAAUAAUGGAAUAGGACCUCGGUUCUAUUUUGUUGGUUUCCGGAAUCUGAGGUAAUGAUCAAUGGGGACAGGCGGGGGCAUUCGUAUUGCGACGUUAGAGGUGAAAUUCUUGGAUYGUCGCAAGACGGACCGAAGCGAAAGCAUUUGCCAAGUAUGUUCUYGUCGAUCAAGAACGAAAGUUAGAGGUUCGAAGGCGAUCAGAUACCGCCCUAGUUCUAACCAUAAAMUAUGCCUGCCAGCGAUCCGCCGGCGUUCCUYCGAUGACCCGGCGGGCAGCUUCCGGGAAACCAGAGCUUUUGGGUUCCGGGGGAAGUAUGGUUGCAAAGCUGAAACUUAAAGGAAUUGACGGAAGGGCACCACCAGGAGUGGAGCCUGCGGCUUAAUUUGACUCAACACGGGAAACCUCACCAGGCCCGGACACCGGAAGGAUUGACAGAUUGAGAGCUCUUCUGAU